rnacentral:rRNA from 1 species
CAGCCGCCACGGGAACACCGAGGAUGCAAGCGUUAUCCGGAAUGAUUGGGUGUAAAGCGUCUGUAGGUGGCUUUUCAAGUCCGCCAUCAAAUCCCCGGGCUCAACCCUGGACAGGCAGUGGAAACUACCAAGCUGGAGUACGGUAGGGGCAGAGGGAAUUUCCGGUGGAGAGGUGAAAUGCGUUGAGAUUGGAAAGAACGCCAACGGUGAAAGCGCUCUGCUGGGCCGACACUGACACUGAGAGACGAAAUCUAGGGGAGCAAAUGGGAUUAGAUACCCCUGUAGUCCCUGUCUCUUAUAC